rnacentral:rRNA from 1 species
CAAGUCGAGGGGUAGAGGAAGCUUGCUUCCUUGAGACCGGCGCACGGGUGCGUAACGCGUAUGCAAUCUACCUUUUACAGAGGGAUAGCCCAGAGAAAUUUGGAUUAAUACCUCAUAGUAUAUAUCAUUCGCAUGUUUGGUAUAUUAAAGUUCCAACGGUAAAAGAUGAGCAUGCGUCCCAUUAGUUAGUUGGUAAGGUAACGGCUUACCAAGACGAUGAUGGGUAGGGGUCCUGAGAGGGAGAUCCCCCACACUGGUACUGAGACACGGACCAGACUCCUACGGGAGGCAGCAGUGAGGAAUAUUGGUCAAUGGACGCAAGUCUGAACCAGCCAUGCCGCGUGCAGGAAGACGGUCCUAUGGAUUGUAAACUGCUUUUGUACGGGAAGAAACCCUCCGACGUGUCGGAGCUUGACGGUACCGUAAGAAUAAGCAUCGGCUAACUCCGUGCCAGCAGCCGCGGUAAUACGGAGGAUGCGAGCGUUAUCCGGAAUCAUUGGGUUUAAAGGGUCCGUAGGCGGUUUAAUAAGUCAGUGGUGAAAUCUGGUCGCUCAACGAUCAAACUGCCAUUGAUACUGUUAGACUUGAAUUACUGUGAAGUAACUAGAAUAUGUAGUGUAGCGGUGAAAUGCUUAGAUAUUACAUGGAAUACCAAUUGCGAAGGCAGGUUACUAACAGUGGAUUGACGCUGAUGGACGAAAGCGUGGGGAGCGAACAGGAUUAGAUACCCUGGUAGUCCACGCCGUAAACGAUGGAUACUAGUUGUUUGGAUUUAUCUGAGUGACUAAGCGAAAGUGAUAAGUAUCCCACCUGGGGAGUACGAACGCAAGUUUGAAACUCAAAGGAAUUGACGG